UAGUAGAGACGGGGUUUCACCGUUUUAGCUGGGAUGGUCUCGAUCUCCUGACCUCGUGAUCCGCCCGCCUCGGCCUCCCAAAGUGCUGGGAUUACAGGCGUGAGCCACCGCGCCCGGCCUAUGAUUUCUUUUAGCAGUGUUUUGUAGUUUUCCUUGUAGAGGUCUUUCACCUCCUUGGUUAGGAAUAUUCCUAAUUAUUUUGAUUUUUUAAAUUUUUUAUUUUUUUUUUGCAGUUAUUGUAAAUGGGGUUGAGUUCUUUAUUUGAUUCUCAGCUUGAUCAUUGUUGGUGUAUAGCAGUACUACUUAUUUGUGUACAUUAAUUUUGUUUUCUGAAACUUUUCUGAAUUCAUUGAUCAGUUCUAGGAGCUUUUUGGAUAAGUCUUAAGAGUUUUCUAGGUAUAUGAUCAUAUCAUCAGCAAACAGUGACAGUUUGACUUCCUCUUUACUGAUUUAGAUGCCCUUGAUUUCUUUCUCUUGUCUGAUUGCUCUGGCUAGGACUUCUAGUACUAUGUGGAAUAGAAGUGGUGAAUAGAAAUAGAAGUGGUUGAAUAGAAGUAGGCAUCCUUGUCUUAUUCCAGUUCUCAGGGGGAAUGCUUUCAACUUUUCCCCGUUCAGUAUAAUGUUGGUUGUUGGUUUGUCAUAGAUGACUUUUAUUACAUUAAGGUAUUUCCCUUCUAUGCCAAUUUUGCUGAGGGUUUUAAUGAUUAAGGGAUGCUGAAUUUUGUCAGAUGUUUUCUCCAUGUUUUUAAAGAUUAUUGUAUGGUUUUUGUUUUUAAUUCUAGUUAUGUGGUGUAUCACAUUUAUUGACUUGUGUAUAUUAAACCAGUCCUGCAUCCCUGAUAUGAAACCCACUUGAUCAUGGUGGUUUACCUUUUUCAUAUGCUGUUGGAUUUGGUUAGCUAGUAUUUUGUUGAGGAUUUUGGCAUCUAUGUUCAUCAGGGAUAUUGGUCUGUAGUUUUCUUUUUUUGUUAUGUCCUUUCCUGUUUUUGGUAGUAGGGUGAUACUAGCUUCAUAGAAUGAUUUAGUGGGGAUUCCUUCUUUCUGUAUCUUCUGGAAUAUUUGUCAGAAGGAUUGGUACCAAUUCUUGGAAUGUUUGACAGAAUUCAGCUGUAAAUCCUUCUGGUCCUGGAUUUUUUUUAUUGGUUGGCAAUUUUUAAAUUACAGUUUCAGUCUUGCUGCUUGUUAUUGGUCUGUUCAGAGUUUCUAUUUAUUCCUGGUCUAAUCUAGGAGGGUUGUAUAUUUUCAGGAAUUUAUCCAUCUCCUUUAGGUUUUCUACUUUAUGUGUGUAAAGGUUUUCAUAGUAGCCUUGAAUGAUCUUUUGUGUUUCUGUGGUAUCAUUUGUAAUAUCUUCUGUUUCAUUUCUAAUUGAGCUUAUUGAUCUUAUCUCUUCUUUUUUUGGUUAAUCUCACUAAUGGUCUAUCUAUUUUAUUUAUCUUUUCAAAGAACCAGCCUUUUGUCUCAUUUAUCUUUUGUAUUGUUUUUGUUUGUUUCAAUUUAAUUUAGUGCUGCUGUGAUCUUGGUUGUUUCUUUUCUUCCCUUGGGUUUGGGUUUGCUUUGUUCUUGUCUGUCUAGUUCCUUGAGGUGUGACCUUAGAUUGUCUGUUUGUGCUCUUUUAGACUUUUUGAUGUAGGCAUUUAAUGCUACAAACUUUCCUCUUACACCACUUUUGCUGUGUCCCAGAGGUUUUGAUAUGUUAUGUCAUUAUUAUUGUUCAGUUCAAAGAAUUUUUAAAUUUCCCCUUUGAUUUCAUUGUUAACCCAGUGAUCAUUCAGAAGCAGGUUAUUGAAUUACCAUGUAUUUGUAAGGUUUUGAGGGUUCCUUUUGGAGUUGAUUUCCAAUUUUAUUCCACUGUGGCCUGAGAGAGUACUUGAUAUAAUUUCAAUUUUCUUAAAUUUAUUCAGACUUGUUUUGUAGCCUAUGAUAUGGUCUAUCUUGGAGAAUGCUCCAUGUGCUAAGUAGAAUGUAUAUUCUGCAGUUGUUAGGUAGAAUGUUCUGUAAUUAUUUGUUACAUCUAUUUCUUCUAGGGGAAAGUUUAAGUCCAUUGUUUCUUUGUAAACUUUCUGUCUUGAUGGCCUGUCUAGUGUUUUCAGUGGAAUAUUGAAGUCCCCCACUAUUAUUGUGUUGCUGUCUAUCUCAUCUCUUAGAUCUAGUAGUAACUGUUUUAUACAUUUGAGAGCAUUGGUGUUAGGUGCAUCUGUAUUUAGAAUUGUGAUAUUUUCCUGUUGGACAAGGUCUUCUAUUAUUAUAGAAUGUUCCUCCUUGUCUUUUUUAACUGCUCUUGCUUUUAACUUUGUUUUGUCUGAUGUAAGAACAGCUACUCCUGCUUGUGUUUGGUGUCUGUUUGUAUGAAGUUUCUUUUUCUACAUCUUUACCUUAAGUUUAUGUGAGUCGUUAUGUAUUAGGCGAGUCUCUUGAAGAAGAGAUACUUGGUUGGUGAAUUCUUACCCAUUCUGCCAUUCUGUAUCUUUUAAGUGGAGCAUUUUGGCCAUUUACAUUCAAGGUUAGUACUGAGAUGUGAGGUACUGUUCUAUUCAUCAUACUGUUUGUUGCCUGAAUACCUUGUGCUUUUUUUUCAUUGUGUUAUUAUUUUAUCAGUCCUGUGAGAUUUAUGCCUUAAGGAGGUUCUGUUUUGGUGUAUUUUGAGGAUUUAUUUCAAGAUUUAGAGCUCUAGUUCUUGUAGUGCUUGUUUAGUAGUGGCAAAUUCUCUUAGCAUCUGUUCAUCUGAAAAAGACUGUAUCUUUUCUUCAUUUAUGAUGCUUAGUUUUUCUGGAUACAAAAUUCUUGGCUGAUAAUCAUUUUGUUUAAGGAGGCUAAAGAUAGGACCCCAAUACCUUCUAGCUUGUAGGGUUUCUGUUGAGAAAUCUGUGGUUAAUUUGAUAAGCUUUCCUUUAUAGGUUACCUGAUGCUUUUGCCUUACAGCUCUUAAGAUUCUUUCCUUAGUCUUUACUUUAGAUGAUCUGAUGACUAUAUGCCUACGUGAUGAUCCUUUUGUGGUGAAUUUCCCAGGUGUUCUUUGAGCUCCUUGUAUUUGGAUAUCUAGAUCUCUAACAAGGCUGAGGAAGUUUUCCUUGAUUUUUCCCUCAAAUAUUCUUUCCAAACUUUUAGAUUUUUAUUCUUCCUUGGGAUAUCAAUUAUUCUUAGGUUUGGUCAUUUAACAUAAUCCCAAACUUCUUGGCAGCUUUGUUCAUUUUUAAAAAUUCUUUUCUUUUUGUCUUUUUUGGAUUGGGUUAAUGCAAAAGCCUUGUCUUCACAUUCUGAAGUCCUAUUUUCUGCUUAUUCAUUUCUAUUGCUGAGACUUUCCAGUGCAUUGUGCAUUUCUCUAAGUGUGUCCUUCAUUUCCAGAAAUUGUGAUUGUUUUUUAUUUAUGGUAUCUAUUUCUCAGGAGAUUUUUCCAUCAAUAUCUUGUAACAUUUAUUUGAUUCGUUUAAGUUGAUAUUCACCCUUCUCUGGUACCUCCUUGAGUAGCCUAAUAAUUAACCUUCUGAAUUCUUUUUCUGGAAAUUCAGAGAUUUCUUCUUGGUUUGUAUCUCUUGCUGGUGAGCUAGUGUGAUUUUGGGGGGUGUUAAAGAUCCUUGUUUUGUCAUAUUACCGGAAUUGUUUUUCUAGUUCCUUCUCAUUUGGAUAGACUAUGUCAGAGGGAAGAUCUGGGGCUCAAGGACUGCUGUUCAGAGUUUUCUGCCCCAUGGGGUGCUCCCUGGUUGUGGGUGCUCAAGGAUGUGGCUUCCUGAGAGCCAGACUGCAGUGAUUAUUAUUUCUCUGUUGGAUCUUGCUGCCCAGCAGAGCUACUGGGCUCCAUGCUGGUAUUGGAGAGUGUCUGCAAAGAGUCCUGUGAUGUGAUCCAUCUUAAGGUCUCCCAGCCGUGGAUAUCAGUACCUGCUGCAGUGGAGAUACCAGGGGAGUGACGUGAGGGCCUUUGGUUGUAUUUUUAUUACACCAAUUUUGUGUUGGUUGGCCUCCAGUCAGGAGGUGGCGCUUUCAAGAGAGCAUAAACUGCGGUAGUGUAGGGAGGAUACAAGCUUGCCGUAGAGUUGCCUGGAUAAGUUUCUCAGACAGUGGGCAGGGCCAUAGCGCUCCCAACAGACUUUGUCCUUUGUCUUCAGCUACGAGGGAACAGUUGGCCUUUUUGGAUGAAGGUGUGAUUACUGGAAAGGAGUACUGCCAGGUGAUAAAGUAAGAAGACAAAGAUGCAGACAAUCAAAAGCAGCCACAUCAGUCUGGUGAUGGGCAAGGGAACACGUGUCAAAGCCAGCUGACCUUUACAUACAUCACGGCUAACUAGAAAACCAUUUGGUGACUUGCUAGUUCCUCGAACUUCUGGGAAAGAGAAUGGUGUUAUAGGUGAGAAUGACAAUACAACUUUGUGUAUUGUCUGGACCCCAAUUUAUAAUGGAUCCUUCUGGUAAGAUCUGUUCAGAACAUUUUCAACUGCUUGAUACCCUACUUUUAAUCAAUUAGUAUCUUGAGCAUCAGUUUUCCUCUUCUUCAGUCCCUAAAUUCACUGAAUUUUCUGAGAUCACACAUUCAAUUCUCAUUGACAUUCUGUACCAUUAGCCAAGGUCUUCAGAAAAUUUAGAUGAGGGCAAAAACAUCACAUAUAAAUGAACAGUGUUUUAGGUCUCUGAUCUUUAUAUAUCACUGAAAACUAGGUGAUGGAUUUGCAAUCCCCAUGGCAUUUAUCUGUCAGUUCUUAAUAGAAUCACUACAUUGCUUCCAUAUGCUCAGUUAUUACACUUCCUCUGUUUCAUUUUGGCCCAUCUCCAUGCUCUGUGACUAUCUAGUGACUUUCCAG
rnacentral:lncRNA from 10 species